AUGAGGAUCCUGGAUCGACCUCCCUCCUUUGACAUGGUGAUUGCUGAUUGCGGCAAGGUUGCUGAUAAAAAACUAAAGAUUGAACUAAUUUACGAAACCUUAUCAUCAAACACAGUGGCCAGCAACGUUACCAACAAGACAGAUGCUCGCUCCAUGAACUCCCGUGUGUUCGUUGGGAAUCUCAGCACUCUCGUGGUCAAGAAAUCUGAUGUGGAGGCAAUCUUUUCGAAGUAUGGCAAAAUCGUGGGCUGCUCUGUUCAUAAGGGCUUUGCCUUCGUUCAAUAUGUUAAUGAGAGAAGUGCCCGGGCUGCUGUAGCGGGAGAGGAUGGCAGAAUGAUUGCUGGCCAGGAUUUAGAUAUUAACCUGGCUGCAGAGCCAAAAGUGAACCGAGAAAGAGCAGGUGUGAAAUGAUCUGCAGCGGAGAUGUACGGCUCCUAUUUUGACUUGGACUAUGACAUUCAACGGGAUUAUUAUGAUAGGACGUACAGUUACCCAGCACUUGUACCCCCUCCUCCUCCUGUUGCUCGGGCUGUAGUGCCCUCGAAACGUCCGCGUGUAUCAGGAAACACCUCACGAAGGGGCAAAAGUGGCUUCAAUUCUAAGAGUGGACAGCGGGGAUCUUCCAAGUCUGGAAAGUUGAAAGGAGAUGACCUUCAGGCCUUUAAGAAGGAGCUGAGCCAGAUAAAACAAAAAGUGGAUUCUCUCCUGGAAAACCCGGAAAAAACUGAAAAGGAACAGAGCAAACAAGCAGUAGAGAUGAAGAAUGAUAAGUCAGAAGAGGAGCCGAGCAGCAGCUCCGUGAAGAAAGAUGAGACUAAUGUGAAGAUGGAGUCUGACAGGGGGUGCAGAUGACCCUGCUGAGGAGGGGGACCUACUAUAUGAUGAUGAUCAUGAAGAUGGAGGAUGACCAGCUGGCGUUGAUCAAGGAUGGCAAAAAGGACGCUGAGGAAGGAGAGGAUGACUCUUAA